CUCCUACGGGAGGCUGCAGCAACGAAUAUUCCGCAAUGGGCGCAAGCCUGACGGAGCGACGCCGCGUGAAGGAUGAGGUCCUUCGGGAUGUAAACUUCGAUAGUUGGUUGGAAAGCAAUUCGGGCGAAUAGUCCGGAAAGUUGAUCGGCCAACGAAAGGGGUGGCUAACUCCGUGCCAGCAGCCGCGGUAAGACGGAGACCCCUAGCGUUGUUCGGAAUUACUGGGCUUAAAGGGCGUGUAGGCGGAACGGUAAGUACUUUGUGAAAUCCCCGGGCUCAACCCGGGAAUGGCUUGGUAUACUGCCGUUCUUGAGGCAGGUAGGGGUCACUGGAACCUUAGGUGGAGCGGUGAAAUGCGUAGAUAUCUAAGGGAACGCCUGUGGCGAAAGCGGGUGACUGGGCCUGUCCUGACGCUGAGACGCGAAAGCGUAGGGAGCAAACGGGAUUAGAUACCCCGGUAGUCUACGCCGUAAACGAUGCGCACUAGGUUCGAGAGUCUCUGAUAUCUUUCGAGCCGAAAUAAAAACGGUAAGUGCGCCGCCUGGGGAGUACGGCCGCAAGGCUAAAACUCAAAGGAAUUGACGGGGGCUCCCACAAGCGGUGGAG
rnacentral:rRNA from 1 species